rnacentral:rRNA from 1 species
UACGUAGGGGGCAAGCGUUGUCCGGAAUCAUUGGGCGUAAAGCGCGUGUAGGCGGCUUGGUAAGUCCGUUCUGAAAGCCCGGGGCUCAACCCCGGGAAGCGGAUGGAUACUGCUGAGCUCGAGUCCGGAAGAGGCGAGUGGAAUUCCUGGUGUAGCGGUGAAAUGCGCAGAUAUCAGGAGGAACACCAAUGGCGAAGGCAGCUCGCUGGGACGGUACUGACGCUGAGACGCGAAAGCGUGGGGAGCAAACAGG